GCCAGAGGAGGCGAUCGUUAUCCGGAGUCACUGGGCGUAAAGCGUACGUAGGCGGUGAGUCAAGUCUGGGGUUCAAGACCACAGCUUAACUGUGGGGGGGCCUUGGAAACUGCCUGACUGGAGUGGGGCAGAGGUUGCAGGAAUUCCCGGUGUAGCGGUGAAAUGCGUAGAUACCGGGAAGAACACCUGAGGCGAAAGCGCGCAACUGGGACCUAACUGACACUGAGGUACGAAAGCUAGGGGAGAGAAUGGG
rnacentral:rRNA from 1 species